rnacentral:lncRNA from 12 species
UGCCUGGGGGCUGUGGCUGGGGUGUCACUGCCUCUGGAGCAGCAGCUCAGCCCUCCCUCUUCUUCCCACUCCCCAGAAGGUGCAGAGGGAUGGAUGGGGUCAGUAUUUUUCAGCUAGUGGUUUGAAGCAUGACAGCCUGCCCACUACCGGGCAGUCCAAGGAAAAUGCCUCCUGAUGUUUCUCCAUUUUCUUGAAGGAAGCUGCUUAGCUGAGCUGUAGGAGAGCAGAAGGUAAUCUGAAAUACAG